UGGGGAAUUUUGGACAAUGGGCGAAAGCCUGAUCCAGCAAUGCCGCGUGUGUGAAGAAGGCCCUCGGGUUGUAAAGCACUUUUGUCCGGAAAGAAAUCCUUGGCUCUAAUACAGUCGGGGGAUGACGGUACCGGAAGAAUAAGCACCGGCUAACUACGUGCCAGCAGCCGCGGUAAUACGUAGGGUGCAAGCGUUAAUCGGAAUUACUGGGCGUAAAGCGUGCGCAGGCGGUUUGCUAAGACCGAUGUGAAAUCCCCGGGCUCAACCUGGGAACUGCAUUGGUGACUGGCAGGCUAGAGUAUGGCAGAGGGGGGUUAGAAUUCCAGUGUAGCAGUGAAAUGCGUAGAGAUGUGGAGGAAUACCGAUGGCGAAGGCAGCCCCCUGGGCAAAUACUGACGCUCAUGCACGAAAGCGUGGGGAGCAAACAGGAUUAGAUACCCUGGUAGUCCACGCCCUAAACGAUGUCAACUAGUUGUUGGGGAUUCAUUUCCUUAGUAACGUAGCUAACGCGUGAAGUUGACCGCCUGGGGAGUACGGUCGCAAGAUU
rnacentral:rRNA from 1 species